rnacentral:rRNA from 1 species
AACGAACGCUGGCGGCAUGCCUAACACAUGCAAGUCGAACGGGAUCCGGACUUCGGUCCGGUGAGAGUGGCGGACGGGUGAGUAACACGUGGGAACCUGCCUUUUGGUUCGGGAUAACCGCGGGAAACUGCGGCUAAUACCGGAUGCUCCCGAGAGGGAAAAGAUUUAUCGCCAGAAGAGGGGCCCGCGUCCGAUUAGGUAGUUGGUGGGGUAAUGGCCUACCAAGCCGACGAUCGGUAGCUGGUCUGAGAGGAUGAUCAGCCACACUGGGACUGAGAUACGGCCCAGACUCCUACGGGAGGCAGCAGUGGGGAAUAUUGGACAAUGGGGGGCAACCCUGAUCCAGCAAUGCCGCGUGAGUGAUGAAGGCCUUAGGGUUGUAAAGCUCUUUUGCCAGGGAAGAUGAUGACUGUACCUGGAGAAUAAGCCCCGGCUAACUUCGUGCCAGCAGCCGCGGUAAU